CACACAGAGAGGUGCACACACACAUACUGUAUCAUUAUCAGUGAUCAUUAUAAACAUACUAAUUAAAAUUACUGUAUUGCACUAUAAGUGAAUCAUGAACCACGUGGUGAAUGAAUGAGCACAGAACCAUGAAUCCGCACAGCCACAUGUUUGUGUUGUGUGUUCCAGUGUGUUGAAGAGCAGUCUGUCAGAGGAGAGUGUGCAGCAGGUCCUCAGCGCCCUCCCCAGGCAGAAGUCUGUGGGUGCAGUUGUGCUCUCAGUGAAGACCAUCACCAUCACCACUGCUGAGAGGCUCCUGCAGUUCUACAAGACCACACAGAUCACAGAGUUUGUGGGGGUGCGCCUACUGGAGGGGGCUGAUACAGCUGAGAGUCUCUGUUCUACUCUCGUGAUGGAGAGGAGGAAGUUUUCUGUCUGGGGAUUGCCCACUCUGGAGAUUCCUCUCCUGAAUCUGAAACCUCUGGACUGGGUCUAGAUCUGCUGUUCCCCUCACAGAUCUCUGACAUCAUACUGAGGGAGAUCCUCCACAGGUUCCAUCAGCUGAGACAUUUCACAGACAAGAGUCAAGAGCAUAAUGAGUGUGUGGAUGCUCUGUUGUCCUGGCUGGCCUCUCUGCCUGAUCUGAAGGGGGUGACUCUGCAGGUGAGCUGCCUGACUGAGAUCUGGGCCACCAGGAUCCUUCAACUCAUCCACACCUGCCCCAGUCUAAAGAGAAUACAGUUUGAAGCCGCUGUCUAUGAUGAGAGUUUUGAGAAGGAAGAAGGUUUGUUGCUGGAGGAGGGGAUCUGCUUACUGAGGCGCCCAGACUGCACCAUCACACUUACAGGAACCACAAGAGCCCCGGAGAUCGUCAGGAAACCCCCUCUGGUCCUUCGGACAAAAGAAGCAUUGCUCAGGAGCCGGUGUUAAGAACAUAAAAUGUGUGUGUGUGUGUGUGUGUGGACAAAAGAAGCAUUGGACAGGAGCCGGUGUUAAGAACAUAAACAUUUAUUCUGAAACUUCCUGAGGGGAGCGGCAACCCAGAGUGUAA